rnacentral:tRNA from 1 species
GCUCAGUUGGUAGAGCAUGGUGCUUGCAAUGCCAGGGUUGUGGGUUUGAUUCCCAU